CAGUCACAGGAACUGAAUAGGAUCACUGAAAGGCCAGCGGUGCUGCUCCCAUUUAUUCGGCUUCCUCGCAGGACUUUGUUGCCAGUCCAUGUUUGCAUUCUGCUUCUGGGUCCGCUACCUGGCAGUACGAGUUAGUCGUUCACAUCCACACUCGUGAGGGUCAUAGGCGUGACAGCACCUUCUUCCCAAGUCCAAUGAAUUGAAUCUACUCACACGACGAUUCAAUUGGAAACUUGUAAGAGUCCCCCUCCCCCAUACAUCUGAGUACCCAGGGCCACCAGCAAUGGUAUUGUUCUACCAUGUUGUUUCUAUUGUCAUGAAUUUACAAUCCAAAGUCUCAGAUCUACUUCAUAAGUUCAAUUGAAAGAAACAUUUCAGCGUGGAGAUCUAUGAUCCAGUGAAUUGAAGAAGAAAUAAGAAACCAACAUCGAGGUGUGUGUGUCUAAGUUCCACAAACAAACCAGACGAACAAACACAUUGACUCAUAAUAUAUUGUGAAAAAGAUCUUGUAAUGCAAACAUUUUGAAUAAUGAAAAGUUGAUCGGUACCUAAGACUGGCACUGACUUUGUCUCAAAAGAACUAUUCCCUUUUCUCAUGAAGAGGAUGCAUCUGCAAAUGGCCAGUUCUUAAUUAUUUGGGGAAACAGAAGUGAUAGAGUGAGCACAGUCCACUCUUCAGCAAGGAUCUGAAAGGAAGAAGUAUCAAAGGCUUAUAUACUUAUCACC